CCCUGUUCCCAGGCAUCCAAUGCAUUCAUAAUAGUCUCCUUUAUCUCCAGGGUCCUAAAUUAAGUUUGAGCUCUUCCAAUGGGACAGUCUUGGGGAGGACCAUCCCAUGAGGUAGAAGAAGCAGCUUGCUGGUUUUCUUGAACUACUUCUUCUCUGCAAGGUCAGUGGAUGGGGGAGUAGGCCUCAUCACCUUCCUCUCAACCCUCUGUC
rnacentral:lncRNA from 1 species